UACGUAGGGACCAAGCGUUGUUCGGAUUUACUGGGCGUAAAGGACUCGUAGGCGGUAUGACAAGUCACUUGUGAAAUCUCCGGGCUUAACUCGGAACGGCCAAGUGAAACUGUCAAACUAGAGUGCGGAAGGGGCAAUCGGAAUUCUUGGUGUAGCGGUGAAAUGCGUAGAUAUCAAGAGGAACACCGGAGGUGAAGGCGGGUUGCUGGGCCGACACUGACGCUGAUGCGCGAAAGCCAGGGGAGCAAACGGG
rnacentral:rRNA from 1 species